rnacentral:rRNA from 1 species
CCUACGGGAGGCAGCAGUGAGGAAUAUUGGUCAAUGGACGCAAGUCUGAACCAGCCAUGCCGCGUGCAGGAUGACGGCUCGAUGAGUGGUAAACUGCUUUUGUACGAGGGUAAACCCCGAUACGUGUAUCGGGUUGAAAGUAUCGUACGAAUAAGGAUCGGCUAACUCCGUGCCAGCAGCCGCGGUAAUACGGAGGAUCCGAGCGUUAUCCGGAUUUAUUGGGUUUAAAGGGUGCGUAGGCGGUUUGAUAAGUUAGAGGUGAAAUGUCGGGGCUCAACCCCGAAACUGCCUGUGAUACUGUUGGCCUAGAGUGUAGUUGCGGUAGGCGGAAUGUCUGGUGUAGCGGUGACAUGCUUAGAGAUCAUGCAGAACACCGAUUGCGAAGGCAGCUUACCAAACUAUAUCUGACGUUGAGGCACGAAAGCGUGGGUAGCAAACAGGAUUAGAUACCCUAGUAGUC